GCAUUAAGAAAAAAAUUUUGAUUUUUUUUUCUUUUGUAAAUCUAGAUUAAAAUGUCUUUGGUUUUUGAAGAUUUUGUUUUAAAACAAAAAACACCCUCAAGCUAAUGCUUGUGUAACUCAGCACACUAUAGUUUUUUACUACGUUGUACCCACUUCUUAGUGGUUUUUAUGAAUUGUUAGACCUAAAGUUCUUGGAGAUCUGGCUUACGAUUAUUUUUGUAAUUUCCUGUUGAAAUGUGGUUAAUAAAAUUCACAGCAAAAACAAAACCUUAUCUCUUAGAGUUAUGCUUUGCGAAUGUUUGUUUGUUUUUACGCCUUUUACUAUGUUGUAGCAGUCAUUCUACUCUCAUAUGAAAAGCUUUUUUCAUUUAGAUUUGAAACUAGAGCACUGAAAUAAGGUUGAAGCAAUUUGUCUUUUGCCUUUCUUAGAAUGAAACUUUUGAUUUUACAAACAAAUUAGCUGCUUCAUUACUGGAUUAUUUAAAAAAACAAAACAAUGCAGUUAUUGAGUGAAGAAGGCAGAGUUAUCAUCAGUAUCAGGAGGAAAAAAACAACCCAUAAAUGUCUCUAGUAUUUUGACAACAAAACAUUUCCUUUUAGGCUAUUCUCCUUUUCCCUGUGACCAAACAAGCCAACUACUUUUGCUUAUUUGCAUCCACACCCGCAUGCGAAAUGUUCUGGCUUUCUAAAAUAAACACGCAUGCAGUGCUCUACGUGCAGCAUGGUAGAAAGAAAGAUUCAAAGAAGCACAAAAGAUCAGCUUUGGCCAUUCCAUACACAUGUAACUUUACUGAGAAUCACUUCAAAGCUUCUGCAGGCUUAAAUCCUGAAAUGUUUUAAGUUCUGACUGCUUUAAACUUGUUAAACUGGACGCAAUCAUGUAUCCUAAUCAGAACUCUUAAGUUUAUUUUCUGACAAAGGUGUUUCAUAAAACGCCCAGUAUACAGUGCCUUGCAAAAAUAUUCAUACCUCUUUUACAAUUUAUGUCAUAGACCAAUACAACGUAUUGCAUAGGGAUUAGGAAGAUUAUGUGUGGCACAAGUCUUUUUGGACAUGCUGUAUGUCUAUCAGAUUUGCACUUCUAGCAUGCUGGGUCAUCUCUCCAAUGUUUGCACAUUCUUCUUUGUAAAACAGCCCAAGCACAACUUGCCACAAAUUCUAAACUAGACAGAACUCUGAACUUUGACAGAGCCACUCUUACACUUGAAUUUGCAUACCUCUGUCUCUGUGCCAAUUGUUUUGCUGCUCUCAAAAAGGUUUUCAUACAGGAUUGUUUCGAUUGAUCCAUCCCCUCAUCAACUCGAACCAGUUUCCAAAUCCCUGCUAAGGAAAAGCCUUCAUACACCAUAAAUCUUAGUCUUAAUUUCUCUCUUAAAAUCCCAGUAGAAUACAUUGACAUUUGUGGUUUUUACCUGACAAACAUGUUGAAAUACUUAUUUUGAUUCAAUUGCCGUAAUAACGAAGAUUCAAUCUACCGUCACAAUGUAAAAACCCAAUGGCAUUAGUAGGUUAAACAAUGAAACUGUAUGCUAUUGGUUAGCUUGAUGCUAGACUGGGAUGCGACGACCUCAGUUAAAAGAGACACAAUAUUUUAGUUAUGUAGCGCCCUCUGCAGGCGAAAAAGAAUAGCUACAUGGCAAAUUCAGCGUCAGGAACCCAUCUGUGCGGUCAGGAUAACAUUGAGCCUUUGUCUGACCGUGGAGCGACACAUCAUGGGAAUUAAGAAACACAAGCUCCAGAGCAAGUGACUUUUACCGCAGCGUGAUGGGAGAGAGACGCCAUACAGAUUCAGUGCUUUUCUUCCCAUUUAACAACAAGGCGCAGUUUUAGGUUGUU